rnacentral:rRNA from 1 species
UGCCAGCAGCUGCGGUUAAACAAAGAAUACAAAUAAAUUUUAUAAAUAUAAAAGUUAAAUUGAAUUUAUUUAAUUAAUAAAAGAAAAUUAGGUGAAAUUUUAUUUUUUUUUAAUUAAUAUAAAAAAUUGUAUUGAAUCUUGAAAAUUUUAUUUUUAAACUAGGAUUAGAUACCCUAUUAUUUAAUUAUUUAUUAAUAAAAGAUUAGAGUAGUAAUAGUUAUGGUCUUGAAACUCAAAAAAUUUGGCGGUAUUUUAGUCUAUUCAGAGGAACCUGUAAUGUAAUCGAUAAUCCACGAUGGAUCUUACUUAAUUUUGUAAUUUAAUUUGUAUAUCGCCGUUAUUUGAAAAUUUUAUAAGAAAAAUAAUUUUCUAAAAUUUUUAUUAAAAAAUAAAUCAGGUCAAGGUGCAGUUUAUAAUUAAGUUUUAUAUGGGUUACAAUAAAUUUAUUUAAACGAAUUAGAAAAUGAAAUAUUUUUAAGAAGGUGGAUUUGAUAGUAAAUUUUUAAAGAUAGAAAAAUUGAUUUUAGCUCUAAAAUAUGUACACAUCGCCCGUCGCUCUUGUUAAUAAUAUAAGAUAAGUCGUAACAUA